CUAUUCUUUAUUAGCUAAUAUAGACAAAAUUUGCAACCUGAACUCCAAUGACAGAUAAAAUUGAAAUAUAAAUCAAUCUCAUGAUUAUAACAAACAAAAAAUAUUGAUGUGUUAAUUUCUAGUUCUACAACUGCUAUUAUAUUUGUCACUCUGUCUUCCUUUUUCGCCCUAAUUCUUCUCUGUAUGUAUAUAGUUUUAGGAAAUGUUCAUUUUGUGGUCAGUUCUUCUAAAAGGGCUUUAUUAAAUUUAUUACUUUUGAAAAAAUAUACCCAUUGUUUAAAUGGGCAUACAAAUGCUACCCUAUUUUAAAUGUAGGUGGCGUAUGUGUUCGUGUUUUAAUGUAUUCAGAGCCAUUGGGCAAUAAGCAGUCCAGAACAUUGAAAACUCAAGCAGCAGAGAAAUAAACUGGUAGGUGGCAGCAGAAGAAGGAGUCUUCAUAUUGAUGGCUGCUGACAAACCAUUGAAGAAAGAGAACAUUAUAGACCAAGCGAAGUGAAGGGGGCAAAAAAUGGAAAUAGGACAAAGAAACUUCUGGAUUUUCACAAUAAAUUGUUCUUUUGAAGUAACCAGUGAUCCUUUUGGAUUAUUACCUCAUCACAGAAUGGAUCCAGAUACAUUUGACUGUAUGCCGUUUUCAAAUGGAGGGUAGAAGUAUAAAGAACACAGAAACAAUUACUCCAAAUUGUUGUCAUUGGAUGUGUUUUUAAAAAUAAAACUGCUAGAAUCGAAAAUGAAGUAACAGGGAGUAUGAUUUUUUUUCUUUUUUUUUUUUUUGUCAACUGAUAACCCUCCCCUUCUCCUAAUCUUACUUCCUAGAGGGAGUCACUGUUAACUGUUUUUUUUAUUUUUUUGGCAUUUCUGUCCAUAUUUUCUAAAUUUCAUUUGUGAGCUCUCUGUUACUCCAGUGGAAUUGUAUUAUAAGCAAUUUCCAUAAUUUCAUGGUAUAUCAACUUUGUGCAUACUAGUAGCUAUAUUGCUGCUUCAAUUUCUUAGAACAGGCACAUAGAAUUGUUUUAUUGCUCCUACUGUAAUUUAAUUCAUUGGCUUAUUUACAUGAAUCAUCACAGUUUUCUUGCAAGGGUUUUCUGUCUUUGUUGAAACUUGUUUUUGCUACAUGCAAUCAAAGCAGUCUAAUACAAGGGAAAAGACUGAGCACAAAACAAACUUUGACAGGUUUUCUAAGAAAAAAAUAAUUGAAAAAAUUUUGAGCAUUGUAAAGGUUCAUACUUUUGGAGGAGAAAUCUAUAUACUAAUGGUAAAAAAAUAAAUAGAACCCUGCAAAAACUAUGGGGAAACUUUCCGUGUUAAUAUCCAAAGUUAAUUCUAAAAUUUGGCCUUGUGAAUUUGCAUGGUUUUUCUUUUUAAAGAUGUGGUUGAUAAAAAGAAAAAUAAUGGCUUGCUUCCACAAACCGGGAGAGGUCUUAAAUGGAGCUGAAUCACACUAGGUCUAAUGGAGGACAGCUAACCAUGAGAAUAGAUUUGAUAUGAUUAAUGAAUCACCAAGUGUAAUUGUGGCUAGGAGGAGGAAACUAAUUAGUGAGACUUAGGUCGGCCACUCCUAACACACAGAAAGAGUUUCUUGCAAGAAUAAAAGGGAGGAGGCAGUUUUCUCCCAUAAAAGAAUAUAGGGAGAGAUGAUGAGUGGACUAGACAUGAUUGGGAAAUACUAAGGUAGAGACAAUACUAUUUUGCUUUACUGGGACCUAAUAGUAUUAGAAGGAUUAAGACAUCAGUGAAGCAAAAUUAAAUGACCUUUUGAGGCAACCGGUUAAAGCACAGCACUGCAAA